GGUUUAGGUCCAAACCUGUUUUAGUUAGAGGAGCAGAGUUGGAUGGUUUACUGUUUUUAUUUAGGUUUCAUAGCUGUUUACUUUAGUUUGUGUAUUUUUUAUGUUUUCAUGUUUAAAUUGUUGUCUUUAUGAUGCUGUACAGCACUUUGAACCAUGGCUAUGUGAAAACACUAUUUAAAUAGAGGGAAGACAUUUUUGACCAAGAAGUUAUGUUAAAUGCACAUCAUUUCACCCCAUUUAGCCAGUGGCAUAAAGUACAAAAAUAUAAAUUUACUUACUGUGCCAAUAAAAAGCAUCAGAAACUUCUUGGAUAGUCUGUUAGCACAAUCAAUACCACAGCUAGCAAUAAUUCCAUGAUUAACGUCCAAAGAUGAGCACACAGAGGACACAACUAAAGCUCAAAGAGCCUAAAUUACUGAACAUCUGUAAACGCGAGUCUGAGGCUUUCCCCGGAGCUAGCCACUAGCGCUUGUUCUGACACUCAUGCUAUCUGUCAGUCAAAUGCAACUGCAACUCUCUCUAUGCAGGGUUGUGUCAGUCAUCACUGCGUCACCUACAGGUUGUGCAGAACAGCGCGGCCAGGUUCCUGACUGGGACCAGGAAACGGGACCACAUCAGUCCGGUUCUGGCCUCCCUGCACUGGCUUCCGGUUUGCUAUCGCUCACAAUUCAAAAUCCUCGUCUUUGUUUUUAAUUUCUUCCAGGUUGGUGCUCCCCCCUAUCUGGCCACACUCCUGAACAGACACUCCCCAUCACGCGCUCUGCACUCCUCUGACCAAGGCCUGCUCGCUGUCCCUUGUUCUAGGUGUCGUACUCGCGGGGACCGGGCUUUCUCAGUCCUAGCGCCGUCACUAUCGAACCAGUUGCCACCCUCAAGUUAGGCUGUCCCCAUCUCUGCCAGCCUUUAAAGAGCAAGUAACGUCUAAAUUAACUUUUUUUUGCUGAUGAACUGUAUAAAUGAGUGUCUAAUAGUGUUUUAAAUGUGUGCAUUCUUUAUUUUAGCAUUUUGGUGCAUUUUCUUUAAAAAUUAAAAAUUCUGUCUAAAAACCACAGUAAUGCGCCACCUUCAGCUGAAAACAUAGAAUUUGAGUCAUUUUGAAUAAAUUUUAGCCAAUGGCUAAAGAGUAAAGUACUACGUAAACCAGUAGAGUACUACGUAGCAGCUCCGUGCCAAAGUUAUAAAAGCAACGAGCGUCUCGGCCACGCCCUGUGGCGAGUGGGAGUUGGAUUUGCAAGCGAGUGUAGGAGGUCAGCGGUAGUUCAGCAUUAGCAUAUAGCAUUAGCAUAUCCUAGUCUUUAGCAUAGCUUUUAGUGUUAUAAAUACUUAUUUAGUGUUAGCUUGGCUGUUGUAUAUUGUAGUUUAGUUAGUGUUUGGCUGUUAGUGUAAUUGGGAAAGUAUUUCGGGUUUAGUGUUCCAUAUCGUCUUAGUAUUGGUGAGUAGGUGUAGUGUAGUAUGCUUGUGGUGACUCUGGGCAUUUUACCCGCGAUUCUGCACGCCUCCGUUUGAAGAGGGAGGCUGCCCACCGUGGCUCUUCCGCGAUUUAGAUGCAGCCCACCGACUCUGCUCCCCCACCACGGCGGGCUCCAGUCUGAGGUGAGUCAGCUAAAUAAACGUUUUAACAUCUUCUAAAGACAAUUCCCUACCUAAAUGCAAAGUCUGAGAGACGUGGUUCACUUCCUUUAGCUAGUCAGUCGGUAAUUCUGCAACAGUGUCUCUAACUAACGCUGCACUAGUUGACAGCAUUACAGCGUGAAAUCCAGCUUGUGACCCGGUUCUGUGAGGAAUUCUGUUCAGGAGGUCGCAUUUCAGGCUCUCCACAUCAUAUGUGACUGACUUUUACGUUAUAACAACGAUCACACACUAGGAAUGUUAUAAAGCGCCUAUAUAGGAGAUUCUUUUGUAUAUUAUAUGACUUUAUAAACUCCCAACAACAAUGUGCUUCUAUUUUUUUUUCAGGCUAAAUCUACCCAAGACACUGGCUGUCAGACUGAUUUAGCUGCAAGAAUGCACUUGUCCAGGCAGACGUGAAGCCUUACCUGUAGCAAAGCCAGCCAGAAUGGAGUUCACAGCCGCAGUGUGUCUGGUGACCCACGGGGACCAUGAUGAAAAUUCAUCUUCCAGAAGGUCCCAGAGCAUCCAGACCCCCUGAAAAGACCAAGAUGUAAGGUGUCUGCUGUUGAUUCCAGCUUCCACCUCAGUGACAGUGCAAGCUCAGUGAACUGUUCAAGCCUGGCUGAUCACCUGAUAACUCCUGUCAUCUGGUUAUGACAGCAUGAGGAUGUCCUCACACACCUGUAACCUAUCAGAUCAUCUGGCAGAAUAGAGAGAGAAGAGACCACACCACAUCUCCUGUUCCUGGAAAGCCUUCAGCCAUCCUUCGAUGACUGAGAACCUCCAUCAGCUCUGUCUCCUGUCUGCCUACAAUUAUUAUAAUAAAUAUUGUGUUUGACAAGUUUUUUGUGCUGCCAAAUAUCUCAUUUAGAUUCCAGUUUUGAUAUUUUAAUGGAUAUUUAUAAAUUACAUUGAAUAUCACAUUUUUGUUGCAUGUUUAACUAGCUCUAUUGUGAUUAAUUAAACUAGCACCUCACUGUUAAAAGCUCGUUCUAAUUUCAAGCAUGUUUAAGUAUUUAUGGACAUGAACAAAAACAGGAAAUAUAUAUAUUGAGAUUUAUUUAAUUAAUAUAACAAAUAAGGGGGAAAGAGUCAUCGAAAGGCACAUUCUUCUGGAAGUUCCUGAUCCUGAGGACACCAGCAGAGACCAGCUGCAGACACCAGAGGACCUAGAACCGAGAGAGCAGCUGUUAUUAGUAAAUAAAUAAAGAAAUCAGGGCAGUUUUAGUGGGCUGAACACAUUACAGAAUGAUUUUCUCAUGGGGUAUUUUCAUAACUUUAUAUGCAGCAGACUGUAACUUGAGCCCAGGGCUACCGGAGAGCUAUCCAGCAUGUUUCAGUGGAUUUUCCUGCUUUAACAGGUUAGAUUAGCUGUUAAGCAGCUCAGCUAUUUGUUGCUGAUUAAAACCAGGUGUGCUGAAGCAGAUAAACCUCUAAAACAUGCUGAAUACUAGCUUUUUAGGGCCGUGGAGACAAACCCUGCAGCUAAUCCAAUGCUAUGGCUAACGGCUACUUACCAUUCAGAGGUGAUUCUGUUGGGUCGGUUCUGGGAGUUUCAGGCAACUCACAAGCUCAAAACAAUAAGACUCAGGUCCGCUUGUCUCCUCCAAAUAGACUUGGUCCCUUUCUUCUCGAGUGUCUGUGUAAGGAGGGGGAGAAACAUCCUCCACUUCUAUCAACUGCUCAGAGUGAAGGGAGCUAGCUUCGUCUAGUUAGCCAUCGUCUUCGUCACUGCCGCGGCUCCGCCCUCUCGGUCCUCCAGGCAACGCCUACUAAUGUUGCAUUUUUUAAAAUUGAUACGUGGGUGGAGAAGGACUCCGAGGCUCAAUUGACCCGCUCUUUAAGUCGCCUAAAAACCCUCCUCCGCUUGGCGUUUCUUGAACAUGUUUGAUUUUGGCCCUCUUUUAUGUUGAUUUUAUCUCACAGUUU